rnacentral:rRNA from 1 species
UACGGAGGGUGCGAGCGUUGUUCGGAAUCACUGGGCGUAAAGCGCGUGUAGGCGGCCCACUAAGUCUGAUGUGAAAGCCCGGGGCUCACCCCCCGGAAGUGCAUUGGAAACUGGUGGACUCGAGUCCCGGGAGAGGAGAGUGGAAUUCCUGGUGUAGCGGUGAAAUGCGUAGAUAUCAGGAGGAACACCGGUGGCGAAGGCGGGUCUCUGGGCCGAAAUUGACGCUGAGGAGCGAAAGCGUGGGGAGCGAACAGG